rnacentral:tRNA from 1 species
GUCUUCGUGGUGUAGUGGUCAGCACGCUCGACGUGUAACCUAGAGGUCCUUGGUUCGAGUCCCGGCGAAGGCU